UCUGUUUGCCACCACCGCCUCCUGCAGGGCCCACACACUUCACAUUUCCCUUCGGCUGCCGGUCCGCUUCCGGCCUCACGGCGCGCAAGCGCACUCGUAGGAGUGUUUUGACAGCUCCGGGCCUGGAGAAGGAGCAGGUGUCGCGAGAGUGGGCAGCGCGCCGCCUAGCGAGAGCUGGAAUUAUGGCGAACCUGGGAAGUGAGGCCGAGCGGGAGCCCCUCUUGGGCCCGGGAUCACCCGGAAGCAGAGAAUGGAGCGAGAUAGAAACCCAAGAGCAUUACAAGAGUAGAUGGAAGUCUGUGAGGAUUCUCUACCUUACCAUGUUCCUCAGCAGUGUGGGUUUUUCUAUUGUGAUAAUGUCCAUCUGGCCAUAUCUUCAAAAGAUUGAUCAGACAGCUGAUGCAAGUUUUUUGGGCUGGGUUAUUGCUUCAUAUAGUCUUGGCCAAAUGGUAGCUUCACCUCUAUUUGGCUUAUGGUCUAAUUAUAGGCCGAGAAAAGAACCUCUUAUCGUCUCCAUCUCUAUUUCGGUGGCAGCCAACUGCCUAUAUGCGUAUGUCCACGUGCCAGCUGCUCAUAAUAAAUACUACAUGUUGAUUGCUCGUGGAUUGGUGGGAUUUGGAGCAGGAAAUGUUGCCGUUGUCCGAUCAUACAUUGCUGGUGCUACUUCCCUUCAGGAAAGAACAAAUGCCAUGGCUAAUACAAGCACAUGCCAAGCCCUGGGCUUUAUUCUCGGUCCAGUUUUUCAGACUUGCUUUGCACUCAUUGGAGAAAAAGGUGUGACGUGGGACAUCAUCAAGCUGCAGGUCAACAUGUACACAGCACCAGUUUUACUUGCAGCCUUCCUGGGAAUUCUAAACAUUAUUCUGAUUCUUUUUAUAUUAAGAGAGCAUCGUGUGGAUGACUUGGGACGUCAGUGUAAGAGUGUGAAUUUUCAAGAAGAAAAUACAGAUGAACCUCAGAUUCCUGAAGGAAGUAUUGAUCAAGUUGCUGUUGUGGCUACCAAUAUUGUGUUUUUUGUGGUUUUAUUUAUCUUUGCUGUUUAUGAAACAAUCCUCACCCCACUAACACUGGAUAUGUACGCCUGGACCCAGGAGCAGGCUGUGCUCUAUGAUGGAAUCCUCCUUGUUGCUUUUGGAGUUGAGGCAGUUCUUGUCUUCAUGGGGGUUAAAUUACUUUCCAAAAAUUUCUGUUCCACAGGAUUGGCGAGCGUGCUAUUCUCCUGGGAGGAUUUGUGGUUGUAUGGGUCGGCUUCUUUAUCUUGUUACCCUGGGGAAAUCAGUUUCCCAAAAUACAGUGGGAAGAUUUACACAACAGCUCAACCCCUAAUACUACAUUUGGGGAAAUAAUUAUUGGUCUUUGGAAUUCUUCAAGAGAAGAUCACAGUGAACAGCCAACUGGGUGCCCAAUUGAACAGACCUGGUGCCUGUACACCCCAGUGAUUCAUCUGGCCCAGUUCCUGACAGCUGCUGUGUUAAUUGGAACAGGCUAUCCAGCCUGCAGUGUCAUGUCCUAUACAUUAUACUCAAAAGUUCUAGGACCCAAACCUCAGGGUAUAUACAUGGGCUGGUUAACCACUUCUGGAAGUGCAGCACGGAUUCUUGGGCCUGUGUUCAUCAGCCAUGUGUACACUUACUUGGGCCCACGAUGGGCAUUCAGCCUUGUGUGUGGAAUAGUAGUGCUCACCAUCUUGCUAAUAGGAGCUGUUUACAAAAGACUCGUUGCCUUUUCUGUCAGAUAUAUGAGGAUCCAGGAGUAAGUUAGAGAGUCUGUGCUGUCUACUGUCUUCAACUCAACACUGAGUAACUUGACUUUGAAUGGUAGGAUGUAUAAAAACAUUCUGGGUAUAAUCUCCUUAUCAAAGGUGAACUGCUUUCAUAUCAUACUUUACUGGAGUCCCAUGAACUCAACAGUGAAAAGAUAAUGGUCUGUAGGUAUGAAACUACACUUAGUGUGAACUGUAGGGCUCUGUAUAAAGCAAUGGACUAUGCAGUGGAACUGGACAAAAGUUCUGUAUUAAUCAGAGCCAACAUUUAGUUUAAAAAAUGAAACAUUUUUUAAACUAAAUAAAAAUAUUUUUUCAUUAAUGUUUUUUAAAAAUAAAAAUGCAUUAUUAUUCAGCUUCCUAAUGAAAUAAAACUGAGCCUUAAAACCUGAACACCAUUCUUUCCACCUUAUACUACAUGGUCUUCUGAAGCUGUCAGCAGUAAAUGAUGGCAGGCAGCAUUUUCCUUCAGCCACUUUGUUUUGUUGGACCCUGGAUAUCCUCUCCUGCCUUUCUGUGUUUUCUUUCAUCUUUGGGUCACUGCUGACCUUAAAAUUCCACCUUUGUGUGGUAUGCCCAGAGACAGAAAUAACCAGUGAGAAUGAGAGCACGCCAACGUUUCUGUGUAAUUCACAGUAGUUUCUCACAGCAAGCUUAGAGCUGAAGGUAAGAUCCUGAUCUGUGAUACAUAUGAAUGAAGUAUACAAGUCGCUUGUCUUUAGAGGCUACCUCAUGAUUGCUGCACUUCCUACAGGAAAACUGACCUGAACACUAACAGUUCUUCAAUUGCAAGAAACCAUUUCUACUUGUGACUCAGAUUUGCAGAUAUUUGGGGAAAAAGUAAAGUGCACUGAGUGAAGAAGCCUUUAUCUUAGCAUACAUGUUCCCACCAAGAACAUGACAGACAUUUCCCAGCCCUAGAAUUCUAAUACUGCCAUUCAGAAAGCUACAACCCAGCAAAAUGACUGCACCUUCUUUUUUACUGAGACACUCGCUUCCUGGGAGAUUAGACUAACAUCACCUCAACACCAAAGUGAAGUAAGAGGUAUAGGGGAGGGAGCUGAGAGGUAAAAACUGUUAAUAGUGUAUAUUAAAGAAGGAGUGAAAAAAAAAGGAGUGAAAGGGGCAAUGGUCUUAUUUUUGCAAAUCUAGCAAAGGAUUAUUUUCUUAUUCUGAAUGUAUUGUCACUUCAUAAAGCAUCUCUAGCCAUUAUGCUUUUCUAUUUAAAACAAGCUCUUUUCUUGUAUGAAAAUGAAAUAAGCUUGUGAAUUUUAAUUUAAUGAAGAUAAACUACUAUUUGGAUCUGACUACCAUUUACUGUUGAAGAUUUAUUUGUAACUUUAUUCCAUUUUGAGUAUUUAUUUCAAAUAAAGCAAGACUGUAAGAAUCUGUCAUA